GAUGAACGCUGGCGGCGUGCUUAACACAUGCAAGUCGAACGAUGAAGCCCAGCUUGCUGGGUGGAUUAGUGGCGAACGGGUGAGUAACACGUGAGUAACCUGCCCUUAACUCUGGGAUAAGCCUGGGAAACUGGGUCUAAUACCGGAUAGGAGCGUCCACCGCAUGGUGGGUGUUGGAAAGAUUUAUCGGUUUUGGAUGGACUCGCGGCCUAUCAGCUUGUUGGUGAGGUAAUGGCUCACCAAGGCGACGACGGGUAGCCGGCCUGAGGGGGUGACCGGCCACACUGGGACUGAGACACGGCCCAGACUCCUACGGGAGGCAGCAGUGGGGAAUAUUGCACAAUGGGCGCAAGCCUGAUGCAGCGACGCCGCGUGAGGGAUGACGGCCUUCGGGUUGUAAACCUCUUUCAGUAGGGAAGAAGCGAAAGUGACGGUACCUGCAGAAGAAGCACCGGCUAACUACGUG
rnacentral:rRNA from 1 species